rnacentral:lncRNA from 1 species
GACCGAGCCAAGCACGCCAACAACAACUCUAGUACUAAAGAUCUCAAAUAUAAUGAUUUAAAUCGAUCAAUCUCUCUCUCUCUCUCUCUCUCUCUAGAAGAGCUCAUAUAGAAUACUUACAUGCUAGUUUAGAGAGAAACUUAAGUAUAUAUGUCUGCAUUCUUCACAGCCGACAGCUGGGAAAAGAUACUGAUGACGAUGUUUGCAAUCUUCAUUGCACCUAGUGUUGGAGCUGAAAGAUUAUCUUAGUUGAAUUCACAAAUAUGGGUCUUCCUGAAAUACUUUUGAAGUUUAUCAAAAGUUUUAUCUUUAAGCACAAAUUUUCUUACAUUUUAUCCUGACUAACCCUUAUCUGAUGCUUGCAAAACUCCUCCUCAGCAUCCAUAUAACAAAAACAAAUAAAAACAUACAAUCAGUAGCUAAACAUUUCUUCUCUUAAGGUCCACAAGAUCCCAAAUCUCCAAUAUGAAUACAUAUGAUCACUUCUCAUGGCAAAAGAGAAUGGCUUGUAGUGAGAGAGAGAGAGAGAGAGAGAGAGAGGAGA